GGGCUGGCCUGCAGGGGGGGGCCCCUGCCGGUGGUCUUAAUCCAGCACCUAGGAAGGUUCGGGAAUCUGGAGAAGGCGCUGUGUGUCGAUUAAUCAAGAGUCCAGAGACAAAACAUAAUUUUGGAAGGCAUUUUGGGGAGCCAGAGAAGACUUUGCUAAAGGAACCAAGUUCUCCCUGUCUCAGGACCCCUUGCUUUUUAUUAACACAGUUUUGUCCUAAGGCAGGGCAGAUACACACAUCAAAGGCCAGGGUUUAGCAUACAGAAUCCAUUGUCAGAUUGGAAGAACUACCUAUGGCUGUCCAGGUGUUUGGCCAGCAGGAGGCCAUAACAUGUAGAUUAAAAAGCCCUUAGCUGUCUGGCAGCAAGCCAUCAUUUAUGCAUCCUUUUCAGGUUUGGGGAAGUGCCCUCUGCCAUUUCCAGCAGGAACAUAUGUGAUUCAG